rnacentral:lncRNA from 1 species
GUUGGUUGUGGGUUUGUCAUAGAUGGCUUUUAUUACAUUAAGGGAUCAUGGCACAAGUUGCAGUUUCCACCCUGCCCAUGGAAGAUGAGGAGUCCAUGGAAGAUGAGGAGUCUGUUGAAGAUGAUUCCGUGGAGAGCAGGAUGGUGGUGACAUUUCUCAUAUCAGCUCUCGAGUCCACGGAUCAUGGCACAAGUUGCAGUUUCCAUCCUGCCCAUUGAAGAUGAGGAGUCUGUUGAAGAUGAGGAGUCCUUGGAGAGCAGGAUGGUGGUGACAUUCC